rnacentral:snoRNA from 1 species
AAUUUGUUAAAAAGAAACAACGCCAACCCUUUAAAUUGUAUAUUCUGUUUUUGUCUUUAUUGAGUUUUUGUUUUGUUUUUUUUUUUUUUAUGUUUGCCUGUUAAGUAGAAUAGAAUUAUUAAAAUGGUU